rnacentral:lncRNA from 1 species
AUGUGCAGCCGUAGCAUCUCUCGAUUGUCUUCUCAGGACUCCAGAGAACCGUUGGGGGAACUUUGGGGUGUGCUCGGAAAAUGCAGGGUGCGCACCGAGGGCGAGGGACUAGCUGGGAAGGGUGUGCCUGUGCUUGGGGAUGGGAGCAGGAAGUGUCUGGGACCUCGUCGCCCCCCGCGGCGGUGUAUAAACCCGGGCGGGCCGUCAGAGCGGAGCUUCAGAGCAGAGACAAGAGCCCAGAAAGGAGCAGAUGCUAGAUUUGCAAGAUCAGAAGCAGGUCUUGAUCCUCCUGCCCAGAAUGAACCAGACUUGAUGAUGCCACCUUCAGGAGCCACCACACUGUGUGACAGUGGGGCAUUUGGGCCGUCCCUGGGAAGUACAGCUGAACCACAGUCCUCUGUACUCGCCCAGGAGCCACAGAGAGUGAACAUCCCUCAGGAUGGUGCUGGUGUGCACAGGGAGCAGCCACGUCAAUUUACACAUUUGCCAAGGACAAUGAGAAUACAGUUUCCUCCGAAAAAAUCUUAGGCUGAUCUUGGAAGAAAGACCCCCUGGAUCAUCUAAAAAUAAAGUUUUCUAUUUAAAGGUUGGUUUUAAUGUU